UACGGGGGGGAGCAAGCGUUGUUCGGAUUUACUGGGCGUAAAGGGCGCGUAGGCGGCCUUCUAAGUCAGACGUGAAAUCCCUCGGCUCAACCUGGGAACUGCAUUCGAGACUGUCUAGCUAGAGUAUGGGAGAGGGAAGUGGAAUUUCAGGUGUAGCGGUGAAAUGCGUAGAUAUCUGAAGGAACAUCAGUGGCGAAAGCGACUUCCUGGACCAAUACUGACGCUCAUGUGCGAAAAGCGUGGGGAGCAAACAGG
rnacentral:rRNA from 1 species